GCUAAACGCGAAGAACCUUACCAAGGCUUGACAUGCAUCGCUAAGCACGUGAAAGCGUGUGACCCUUCGGGGGACGUUCCACAGGUGCUGCAUGGCCGGUCGUCAGCUCGUGUCGUGAGAUGUUGGGUUAAGUCCCGCAACGAGCGCAACCCUUGUGAACAGUUGCCAGCGCGUCAUGGCGGGAACUCUGUUCAGACUGCCCACGAUCAACUGGGAGGAAGGUGGGGACGACGUCAGGUCAGUAUGGCCCUUACGCCUUGGGCUGCACACGUACUACAAUGCCCAGCACAAUGAGAACCGAUGCCGCGAGGUGGAGGAAAUCUGCAAAACUGGGCUCAGUUCGGAUUGGAGGCUGCAACUCGCCUCCAUGAAGUUGGAAUCGCUAGUAAUGGGGCAUCAUCUACGGCCCCGUGAAUACGUUCCCGGGUCUUGUACACACCG
rnacentral:rRNA from 1 species